GCCUUAAUGCAGCUCCCCCAAGAGGGAACGGUCACAAGCCCGUGGAAAUGCAGAGUGAGGC
rnacentral:ribozyme from 2 species